rnacentral:rRNA from 1 species
AACGAACGCUGGCGGCAUGCCUAACACAUGCAAGUCGAACGAGACCUUCGGGUCUAGUGGCGCACGGGUGCGUAACGCGUGGGAACCUGCCCUUAGGUUCGGAAUAACUCCCCGAAAGGGGUGCUAAUACCGGAUAAUGUCUUCGGACCAAAGAUUUAUCGCCUUUGGAUGGGCCCGCGUUGGAUUAGCUAGUUGGUAGGGUAAAAGCCUACCAAGGCGACGAUCCAUAGCUGGUCUGAGAGGAUGAUCAGCCACACUGGGACUGAGACACGGCCCAGACUCCUACGGGAGGCAGCAGUGGGGAAUAUUGGACAAUGGGCGAAAGCCUGAUCCAGCAAUGCCGUGUGAGUGAUGAAGGCCGUAGGGUUGUAAAGCUCUUUUACCCGGGAUGAUAAUGACAGUACCGGGAGAAUAAGCUCCGGCUAACUCCGUG